CAUAGAGGCCGCACAAGGGAGUAUAUAAGGGCACCAAAUUCCAAAACCCUAACAUCAUUCUCCAAUCAUUUGUGGCUGCAACAAUCAGAAUUAUUCCCCACCUUUUCACCAACAAUCUUCCUCGUUCAGAAACCCUUAAAACACUCUCUUUCCUCUCCUUGGAAGUUGACGGUGGCUCCACUCCUCAAGACAAUCCACAACAACUUUCUCCAUCCUUCUAGAAGUUCAUCUCUUCUUCUAAAUCUCGCACAACCAGCUCCAUCUUCAUUUCCGGGUACUCAGUGAUGGUUCAGGAGCUUGCAGCUGGGGAGUGUAGUGGUCGCAUGAACCCGUGUUGGGUUUCUAUUAACAAUUAUGAACUUUAAACUAUUGUUUUGAACUAUUACACUUAUUCUUCCGCUGUUAACUUUAGUUACUGCUUUUGAACUAUAAACAAUGGAAUUUAGUCACUAA